rnacentral:rRNA from 1 species
AGUGAACGCUGGCGGUAGGCCUAACACAUGCAAGUCGAACGGCAGCACAGUAAGAGCUUGCUCUUACGGGUGGCGAGUGGCGGACGGGUGAGGAAUACAUCGGAAUCUACUUUUUCGUGGGGGAUAACGUAGGGAAACUUACGCUAAUACCGCAUACGACCUACGGGUGACAGCAGGGGAUCUUCGGACCUUGCGCGAUUGAAUGAGCCGAUGUCGGAUUAGCUAGUUGGCGGGGUAAAGGCCCACCAAGGCGACGAUCCGUAGCUGGUCUGAGAGGAUGAUCAGCCACACUGGAACUGAGACACGGUCCAGACUCCUACGGGAGGCAGCAGUGGGGAAUAUUGGACAAUGGGCGCAAGCCUGAUCCAGCCAUACCGCGUGGGUGAAGAAGGCCUCCGGGUUGUAAAGCCCUUUUGUUGGGAAAGAAAAGCAGCAGGUUAAUACCCCGCUGUUAUGACGGUACCCAAAGAAUAAGCACCGGCUAACUUCGUG